UACGUAGGGUGCGAGCGUUAAUCGGAAUUACUGGGCGUAAAGCGUGCGCAGGCGGUUCGUUGUGUCGGCGGUGAAAGCCCCGGGCUCAACCUGGGAAUUGCAUUCGAGACUGCGUAGCUAGGGUGCGGAAGAGGGAAGCGGAAUUUCCGGUGUAGCGGUGAAAUGCGUAGAUAUCGGAAGGAACACCAGUGGCGAAAGCGGCUUCCUGGUCCAGCACCGACGUUCAGGCACGAAAGCGUGGGGAGCAAACAGGAUUGAGAAACCCCUGG
rnacentral:rRNA from 1 species